GUGAGGAAUUUUCCGCAAUGGGCGAAAGCCUGACGGAGCAAUGCCGCGUGAAUGAUGAAGGCCUAUGGGUUGUAAACUUCUUUUCUCAGAAAAGAAUUAUGACGGUAUCUGAUGAAUAAGCAUCGGCUAACUCUGUGCCAGCAGCCGCGGUAAGACAGAGGAUGCAAGCGUUAUCCGGAAUGAUUGGGCGUAAAGCGUCUGUAGGUUGUUUAAAAAGUAUUCUGUCAAAGAUUAGGGCUUAACCCUAGAUAGGCAGAAUAAACUUUUAAGCUAGAGGUUGGUAGAGGCAUAGGGAAGUCCCGGUGGAGCGGUGAAAUGCGUAGAUAUCGGGAGGAACACCAAAGGCGAAGGCACUCUGCUGGGCCAAUACUAACACUGAGAGACGAAAGCGAGGGGAGCAAAUGGGAUUAGAAACCCUUGUAGUCC
rnacentral:rRNA from 1 species